UGACAAGUCCUUACUUAAAAAUCUUCAAAAUAGGCCCUAAUCCCUUAAUUUCUGUUAAGGACCUAUAAGCUCACAAAUUGCAAGACAAGUCCCAUUCCCAAAAAUAUAUUAUCCACGGCUGAAAUUAUGAAAGAUUAAAAUCCCCAAUAUCCAACAUUCUUCUCGCCGGCCGAAUGAAAAUUAAAACCCUAAAAUCCACCAUAUAUUUUUUUUGCCAGCGCCAAAUCCGACCCGCCACCUCGACCCGAGUCCUCAAUAUCAUGUGAGGACCCGACUGCUAUACAACCCAAAAGUGGGCGUUGCACGGGAAGAAAAGUGAAAUUCCUAAGCUGGAAUCUGAGGUACAAAAUUGCCAUUAAUUGUGCAUUGAGAUGUGAAAUCAAACAAUAUUUUGCUGAAUUCUAAUUUCAAAGCUUGCGUUGCGGAUUUUGGGCUCGUCAAAUUCUUGGUAGAUGGUGGUGUUGGAUUUAUUAAUUGUAUCUUUGUGUGUGUGCAUUUGGAGGGGGAAAAUGAGGGUUGCCUGAGAUUAGGUUUCAAACAAAUAGGUGAUUUGGCCGAUUCAGGUUUAAGUGGAAACGGAUGGAGGGGUGGAAAAUUUUGUAAAAUAUUUUUGUUUUAAAUGGACUUCCUCCCGUGUGGUUUGGAUUUGGAUUUCUUUACAUAUGUUUAUAUAAUGAAUUAUACAUUAUACAUAUUUGCCCAAACAAAAUUGUAUGCAAAAACAUUUUUCCAUGUGAUAUAGGAAAAAAAAUCAUGAAGGAUUUCGAUCAUAUUCUGAUAUCAAUUGUUGAAUUUAAUUUUAAUCAUGUUAAGAAUCAAGAAUCACAAUACAAUAAUUAAUUAAAUGAAUUCAUACCUGCGGAGGCCAUUGUUAAUAUGAAUAGUAAUUGUAAUAGCAGUAAGAUCUUCCCCUCAUUGCUUCUCACAAAGUAUUAAUCGUCAAUGGGGCAAAUUAAAAAAAUAUGGAGAGGAGACGGGACCUAAUCUUUAUAUAGGAAAUAAUUGAGUCGUCCCAUUACAACUAGAACUCUAAUUAGGAUAUAUUUUCGGCCCAGAUAUUUAAAAUUAUCACAUCAUAUUAAUUACAAUUGUAAGGUGUAAAAAGCUCAAUUGAUCACUUAAUAAAUUUGGCUCAAUCACAAAUAUUAUUAUAAGACACAUUUAACCCGUAAAUUUUACAAUCGAAUGUGAAGUUCACAUUUGAAAUUAUUCCAACAAUAAGAUGCAAUGGCUCAUCUGCCUCCUUACUCAUUGCAUUACGUAAAAGACCCCCGAUAGAGUGUUGGGCUGCCAACCUCUUGAUAACUCCUAUCCCAAUUUCCUCCAUCUUUUUUUAGGUGCUCAAAGUACACUAUGUACUCAGAGGAAAUGUGAUCAGCCGGGUUGACAAACAGACAUGGAAACCAACGUGACAAAUAGAGAAAUGAAUCUGUCGAACCGAUUGUUUAUGUUAUUAUGUUUCAAAGCAAAAGCAAGUCCAGCAGUAAUUACAUUGCCAGCAAUUCUAAUCAUGUGUUUCACCUUUUUAUCCUUGAUACUCUUGAUUGGGGCCGAAAAGAAUAGUUGGUGUAUAUUCUAAAACAUAAAUAAAAUAAAAAUGAGUUUUAAUUGUGCUAUUGAAACAGUGAACAACAAUCCGUCAGAAUAUUCUAUACUUAGUUUUUAGAGGUUCUGAGGACAACAUACAAUUUGAAUCUGUGUGUUCAAGCAGUUUUAAUUAAGUGCAGAAAUUAAAUAACAUAUUAAAACUUGAACACCGAAUACAACGUGGUAAACCCCAAAGGAAACAUCCACGACCGCCAUGUCAUGAAUCAAACAAUCCACUAGAUUAAUUUAUCAAAAAUACAAUAGCAUUCGUUUUGUAAUCUCUUAAAAUUAACAAAGAAUAAUAAAAACAAUUAAGAACAACUCUGUUGUAUCUUCUUCUUUUGACUUGUUGAUGAAGUUAAUCAAAUUCAUUGAUCUUGACUUCGUACCACUUACCCACCAUGCUCGACCGCAAUCACCACUUGAAUUAAAAAUCACUAUGUUUAAUCCAUGCCAAUCAGCUUGAUCAAUGAAUGAAUUGAAUCAAUGUUAUCAAAAUCGGACUGGAGUACCUGUGCGACUAAAAAACCCUAGAACCAGAGUGAUAACCUGUCGAUUGAUGUAUUAAACCUGCAAGUAUAAAAAAUGGCUCAAAUAUCAUAAAAUCGGGUAGCUUUUCGAAACCGACGACCCGAUUGUGAGUUUACAGAGUUUUUCCGAUUGGCUUUGUAAGAAAAAAUCAAAUGCUAAAGUAACAUUUAUUCAAGAAAUUGAUUCAACAUAUGGUACCCCCAAUGUUUAAUUAUAUUAUUUUCGAGUCAACCCGAGUUCAACCCCUAACCCUCUUUCUUUUCCGAGUCAACGUCUGGAUCAAUUUUCAAAAUAUUGAAUUGAACAUUCAGCAUACGUUGAUUUAUAUUCUCCAAAUAUUUUGAAAAAGACUUUGACAUUGAAAAAUAAUUAAUGGCAAUAUUACCCAUAAAGAAUUAGUAUUUUUGUAGGACGAUGUGAAAAAUACAAUGAUAGAGGUUUUACUUAUAGAGAGAGUUGUCCAAAGAAACUCAAUUGCACUUGAGAAGAGCUUAGGGUAGAGGAGGCGGGAGUUUGGGUAAUUUUUUUUACAGGUGGGUCCCCCAUGAGAGUGUCACCCCUAUCCUAAUAAACCAGCAAAAUUCAUUGCACUUAGGAGUUAUUGGAUUAUAGAAGGAAAAGGGCUUCUAACAGGGGGAGAAAUAGACAAUGCUAUAAACUACCAAAUAACAAUUUAUGUGGAAUGACAAUUGUACAGAAAUCUACACGUGGGCCUAACCUUGAUUGGGCCAAGAAGAUGGAUCCCAUUCAUUAACAUUCACCGCUAAAUGGACCACUUUCUCGACUUCGUAAAUUUGGGCUUUGCCCACAGCAGUAAAGCCUGUGAGAAAACAGGUAAACAGCUUACAUUUGCAACUUCGCACCUUUCUUAUAAAAAGUAAUAAGCAAGUUUUAAAUAGGUAAAUUAUUUAUUAAUAUAUAUAUAUAUAUAUAUAUAUAUUCGAGUUUUUCGUCACUAGUAAGGUCUAGUGUUUUUUUUUUUUCUUGGAGAUGAAGAUCGUACAAGAUGCUGGCAAAGAAAAACAAGCUUUUUAUCAUUUUCCUUAAAUGCAUCAAACAACCUAAUUGCGUGAUAAGUUAAUUUUCACAAUCAAGUAACCUAAUUUCUAAAUUCCUUUUUCCUUUUUCUCAACAACGAACCAAAAAAUAACCCAAUUUUCACAAAUUGCAAACCCCGUCAACCAAAAGGUCCGUUCAUGUGUUCCAUGUUUAUCAUGUGAACUGUACUUUCUUGGACCACGACAGUAUAGAUAAGCAUUCUUGUAUUUCUCACGUCAUCCCACAAGAAAUCAUGGUGGCCAUAAAUCUUCUAUGCUUUUGCUUUCUUUCUUGGUCCAUCAUGCUCUAAGUUGCAAUAUCACGCACAAAGAUGUGAUCAUGGAAAAAUAUCCUUUUGAGUUUCUCAAUAUCUUACGAGGUUCCAAAAUGUACAAUAAGGUGGAAGAACUCAAUCGAGUUGUGGAGUAUCUCGAUCAAUUCGAUUAUCUCGAUACUCUUAACGCUAACAACAAUGAUGUAUUUAAUGAAUAAGGUAGAUAAGCUAGAGUCUGCGAUCAAAUCUUAUUAAUUCAAUUAUAAACUCGACGCUACCGGAGUUCUAGAUUUUCGCAUAGUGUCUACAAUGAUGAACAUUCGAUACGGGGUGCUUGAUCUUAUCGAUGGUACUAACACAAUGUAUAGUGGCACAUUUGAUACUUCAAAAUAUGCUUUCUUUGGUAAUAGAAAACAAGCUGCUAAAUUUCUUAUCUAUGGAUUUGAAGGUGAUUUUCCUACACACAUUAUGAAGCCCAUAUGAUAUGCCUGUUGGAGACGACUUAUAAAAAGGGCUAUGUAAGAGUUGAUUUUUGAUAUAUUUGUUUGACUAGUUUUAACCCUCAAGAGCGUGAUCAAAACACAAUUUAUAUGAAUGAAAAUUUGGACAGAAUUUUGGUAUAACGAUUACACAAAACAAUGAUUAAAAAGGAGUAGAAAUAGAGAAUAAUCCAAGGUGAAACGUUAUCUCUUUCCUUAAGAUAAAUUGUCUCGCUACAGUGCUCACGGUGAAUGGUACUUAUCUUCCAAGAUACAAUAGAUUCACAACUUGUGAUAGCAACACUUCAAACCACAAGAAACCAACAAAUUUUUGAUAGAAUUUUUCCUCUACAAAGGAAAUGCAUGAAAAUGCUAUGGAAUUAGAAAUGAGAGAAUUGCAAUAAAAGAAUGAAUGUUCAAUGCAAUUGGUAUACCCAAAAUCAUGUCCAUAGAGUCAUAUUUAUAGACAUAGAAAGGGUGCAAAUGAAGUAGUGUGGGCCAAAACAUGCAUUCUUUCGAAAAGUUGCAACACUUCAUUUUUUCCAACUUUGGUCCGCAAUUUUUCAUUCAUCUGAAAUUGGUUUCCAGAUUUCAAAUAUACCACGACGAUCUACUCGACGAGUAGAAUAAGUUGGUCUAUUUACUUUUGUAAUUUGACCAUCGAAUCAAGUCAAAUAUUUGAUCGAAGUUGACACGUAGUCACACCUUUUUAUUUUUCACUUUUACACACCUUUUCAUUUUCUAAUUUUUGGUUAAUUAUUUGCACCAAUUUCUACAAUGUCUUUGACAUAUGGGCUAACAAUCCAUACUUUCAUGAUUCGCCCUACAAUGACUGCAUCUUGGCCCAACUGCUUGAACUAUAUUCAUUGUCUGAUCUACUUUUUAAAUUAGUGUUGAUAGCUUAGCUGAGAUUGCUAUUAGUGUGUCGACCUCAUGAUUCCAACAACUUUUCUUCCAUUUGAUCUCUUUGUUCUUCUUCAAUAAUUGAUAUCUCAUCGAAUUGAAUGAUCGGUUCACAAUCAAAAUUCCCGACAACGAUAUCAAAAACCUGUUCUAUAAAAUUUCGUAAACGUGCGAGAUCAUUGACCAGCAAGCAAUAAAUUUUGAUGAGAAGAGUAUUGUCCCACAAGGAAUAAAUUUUAAUUCAAAUUUACUAAUUAUGCAUGGAAUUCGAAUUGUGUAACAAAAGAGAGAGUUUAUUUUAUUUAUACUAAAUUAAUCUAAAAAAAUAUGAAAAGCUAGGGUUUAUAUUAAUAAAUGGAUGAUUGUAUUGAAUUUUGAAUCCGCAUAUUGCUAUCUAUUUCAAUUCUCAAUUAUAUAAUCUAGUCUUAUUCGUGCAUUUUUAACAAUAUAUAAAGCUAAUAUAUUUAACUUUUCAUUUUGAAGAUAAACUAAUUAUAUUCUACUCACGACUUGAGUCUAUUCCUAGACAAAUUCGAAUGAGUAGAAUGCAUGUAAUUUUAGAUUAAUAAUAUGAUUGCAAUAUUGUUUGAUAAAAUGCUGUGCAUUUAUUUGGGUCAUAUUACUAAACUUUUAUGUCGUUAAAUUAUUGAAUUUUACUUAAAGUGGGUUAAUGUUAUAUUAUUUCUAUCAUGGACUCGUUUUGAAGCAGUUUGAAGAGAAAGAAUAAUUAAUUGGCUAUUGGAUGCAAUGUUGGAGAGCAAAUUCAACACUUUAGAAAUUGAAGACGUUAAAUUGAAUUGAAGAGAACAUUGGUUGCACAAUUGAUGAAUUCAAGGACUAAAUUGCGUUAAAUUGAAAGAUUGAUGACUUGAAGAAAAUAAUAAAUUAAAUGGGCCUCACUUUUGGACUUGUAUUUGGAUUCAAAUUUAAAAUACGUUUUUAUUCUUGAAUGAAUGACAUUGAUUUAAUUUUCUCUACAAUUAUAUGCGUAAUAGUUUUAUGAAUUUUGUGGCUUGUUUUACUUUUGAAACAUUGAAUAUAAGUUAGACAUUAUGUCAAUUGUUGUAGAGUUCA
rnacentral:lncRNA from 1 species